rnacentral:rRNA from 1 species
UACGAAGGGGGCUAGCGUUGUUCGGAAUUACUGGGCGUAAAGAGCGCGCAGGCGGUUGGAUAAGUCGAAUGUGAAAGCCCCCGGCUUAACUGGGGAGGGUCAUUCGAUACUGUUCAACUUGAAGGCAGGAGAGGGCAGCAGAAUUCCCGGUGUAGUGGUGAAAUGCAUAGAUAUGACCCGGAACACCUAUUGCGAAGGCAGCAGGCUAAACAAAUAUUGACGCUGAGGCUCGAAAGCGUGGGGAUCAAACAGG